rnacentral:lncRNA from 1 species
UCCAUUCCUGCAGUCAGCACAGUUGUUCAUGAAAUUCAGAGACAGUUUUUUUUUUUUCAAGUAGACCAAUUCAUUGAGAAGAUGAGAGAAGGGAGAUUGAAUCAGUCAGCUUGGAGAGGAGUUUGACCCAGAAUAGCUAUGCUGAAGCAGCCAGCCAGAGAUCAGAAAGAACUAGAUUAGGUGAGCUUACUAAGCAGUAAGUGUGUGACAUGACAGUUAUAUCAGGUGAAUAAAUGUUACUUUUCUAUCCUCUGACUGUAUCACAUCCAAUAUCUUCCCCCAACCUCUGCCCCUGUCUCCAUGAGGAUAUCUCCAUCCCCGACUCCUUUGCACCAGACCUCUAAACUCCCUGACCAACCCAAAGAAAAAUAAAUAAAUAAAUAAUAAAAUUACUUUUCCAGGUAUUGUCAUUGUUCAAGACUUGUUUAGGCAAUUUUCUAGUUUCUCUAUCAGGAGUUUAGCGUCUCUCCUUGCUAGGAGACAGUAUCUUACACAGGCUUCCUGGCUGUUUGACUUUUACAGUCUUUCAGUCCCAUUUGCAUUGCACGCCCUGAGCCUUGGUGAAUACGCUGUCUUGUAGAUGCCUUUGGGGAUAGACAUGCCAUUAUAAGUUGUUGUCAGCAUUUUGACGAGUUGAUUGUUGCCAUUUACUGCAAAGAGAAGCUUCUUUGGUGAACCAUGAGAGCUGCACUUACCUGCAGCCUGUAAGGAUGUACUUUGAAUGCAGUUAGAUGCUAUGCUGGUCUGGGAAAAGAUGACAUAGUGGUUUUUCUCCUAAAAUGCACAAGGAGAGUAAAAAUAAGCAGAUGGAAUUAAUUUUAAUAAUAUUUUAAUUACAUAAAAGUAUUCAAAAUAUUGUUUAUACGUAUUAUUCAUUUAUAACAUUUAUAAUUUUCUUUGAUUUUAAUUGGAUAUUUUUUAAUUUAUAUUUCAAGUGUUAUCCCCUUCCCUGGUUUUCUUCUAAGAAUGACCGAAGCAUCCACACUUUGGUCUUCCUUCUGCUUGAGCUUCAUGUUUACUAAGCUCAGUUUAGACUAGUCUGAUUUGGAGUACCUGGUGACCCAAUGUGGCUGGCAGCUAUAGCCCAGUCUACAAAGUAUGCUAAGGGCAGAAAACUCAAUCACUGACAACUAUUAUGCCCACAUUAGCAGUUGAGUACAGGAGAGCUGGGCAGGAAGGUCCAGCCGAGACUGGGGAGACAGGCUGUGCUAAUGAGAACAGUGCAAAGAUGACCAUGAUAAGCAAAGUAGAUCCCUGGCAUGGAGCUUUUAUUUCUUAGAUUUGGGAGAAUAGUAGAAAGUAAUUGAGGGUAGAUCUAUUCAUAUAUAAGCUUCCCUCCUGGCUGAAUAACAAAGGAUGAAUAACAAUGAAUGAGUAGCAAUUUGUAGCUAGAUAAAAAUAUGGAGAAUAUCUUCUAGGUAAGAUACUAAGAGGAAUGAGGAAGAUUAAAAAUAUACAGACCCUACAGACACAUAAAAAUCUAACUUCAAUAUGGGUUAAUGUAGAACUAAUUAAUAUUAAUUAUUUCAAUGUGGGGUUGCUACCUGCCCCAAUGAUCUAGGUUCCCAAAUGAAAGACACAUGCACAGCCUUUAUAUUUUAAGAUGUCUUAAGCAGCACAAUAGCUUGGCCACUGCCUAGCCUCUGAGUAGUUAAUGCCAUGUUAUUAUUUAAUAAUUCUAUGUUUUAUCUUGGCUGCCCUGGAUACUGUUGGACAGCUUUCUGGGCCCUGCUUUUCCACCUCCAUGACAUGGAAUGUCAUGGAAUACCUCCUUCUCAGGCAUGGUGUCUCUCUUCUUCCCCACACUCUCCUGGCAUGGUGGAUCUGUCCCUUCCUCUUCCUCCCAGACCCAAGCCAAGGAAAUCCUAUCCGGCCUCUGUCUUUCCUACCCAGCUAUUGGCUAUUGGUAUCUUUAUUUACCAAUCAGAAACAACUGAGGGUAGGUUUCCAGAAUUUACAUGCAGAUGCUCUUAUGCAAGCAGGGAUUUUUUGGGGGGGAGGGGGGAGAACUUAAUUAAUAUUCAUAAUACAAGAGCUACAGCUUAAUUAAAAUUAAAUUAUAAUUAAAAUAAUAAUUAUAUUCCUCCAAAGUAAGGUUUAUCAACCAAUCUAUGUAUUGCUUGCUGUCUGUUUUAUCUACUGAUUCAUCGCAAAAUUUGAUGAAAUUGAUACUCUAGUUAAUUAUGUUUUCCCAAUGAGAAAGCUAAAAUUCUUAGAGUAAUUUUAACGCACCUGAAUCCAGCACACUAGGCAAUGGUUUUGGUUUCUGUCUGUACUCAAAACCUGCAUCAUGAACACAUGACUUACAGAAUGCAGGAGGAACUGAAAUGACUGAUCCUGUUUUAUGAUAGGGAGUCAAAUUUAAUUUUCCUAUAUUUGUAUUUCAAAUCUAGUUUGGACCAGGUGACAAGUGUGGACAAGGACGCAGCUGGAGUAAGCAAGGGCUGGCAUCUUCAAACUGGAAUCUGAAAACUGAAUGGCAUAUGAAUACUUGUAGGAGGCAGUGUAGGCAGUGUGAGCAAUGGCUCAAAGGACAGUGGCAGGAAUGACCGUCAGUCAACAGGGAAAGGGGGAAUAGCACAGGAUCCAUGGAACAUUUCAAGUACGGAAGCUGGAAAUUACAUUAAAGGUUGAGUUGAGAAAAACAAAUUGAGAGCUUUCAGGGGUUUUACCAAGAGAGUGAUACUACUCCCAUUAUUCAAACAGAAAUAUAUUUCUGGGGCAUAAAUUAGGGGAGGAAGGGAGCAAUCCAAACAUCCGUUUUGAGACCAUGGCAAAGGUCUAAUACCAACUGAAAAAGCUAAACUGCGACCAGGUGAGAGACACUGGGCCAACUGUGAGAUUCUCAAAGGAAAACAGGAAGUUAAAACAUCCUUUGAAUUUAAUAAAUUAGUGAAGAAUAGCUGCAACGGUGAGAGCUCAUACUUUCUAGAGGUAAGAUGGCCUUCAACUUGUCUUGUGAUAAAAAGGCAAACCUUUUGUAGCUUCUAUAAAGUCAAUAUUUACUCCAUGGUGUAUGAAUAAAGAGCAUGCAUGUUAUUCAAGAACACUAAGGUAUUACAUACGAAUAUAUUGGGAACUCCUAUCCUGGAAUUACAAAAAAAUAAGUAUUCCAAACUUGGAAAUCCGUAGAAAAGCAUGCUAUAUAAGACUCACUAUGAACACAGUGCAAACUCAUCCUAUUCAAAAAGCUCCCUAAAACAGCAAAAACCUAUAAAAUGAAUAAAUAUCACUAUAAAUAGGAACUUUUAAGUGAAACUUACUGACAUGCUAUCUUUAACCUUUGUUGCAUAUCUGUGUAUUGGAAACAUUUAAGGAACAUUGUUUCUAACGACUUCCUAGUUAACUUCUUCAGUUUCCCCCUGGUUACAAGGACUUUCUAAGAUGACUGUUUUAGUUAAUAGUAUCAGUGUCUACCAGACUUGAUAUAGUGAAUGACUUUUAUCAACAGUAAAACAUUUGAUGUUCAGAACCCUGAGAUGUAAACAUUUCUUUAUCUUUCCUUUGGGAAAAAAUGGAAACUCAGAAGGGAUUCAAGAAGUGACUGAUCUUCACACAGUAAGAAAUGUGUUUUCCUCACUAUUGCAACAUAUGACCUUUUUGUAUGGUAUUAACACUACAAUACACCAUUGGUGGGAUGCUAUGCCAUGUGUUUAUUAAUAUUCAAGUCUGCAUCAUUUCAAACAUUACAUUUUAGGUUAGUGGACCACCAGUUAGAUUAUCAGAUCAUUCCUGAAAGCAUCAUUAACUGCUUAGUGCUGAGAAAUUGACAGUCCAUGUUAAUUGGGUAAAAUUCCAUGGCAGUGAUUACUCCAUAGAGUCUCUUAAUAGAAUAUAAAGGUGCAAUGAUCAGGGAGUGUUGUAAUACACAUUGACUACUUAAUAUACAAAUAUUGAUGAGCUUUCC